GUCUGCUGCAGCUCUUCUGCCUCUGGAUGGACAACAGCGUUCCCUUAACCUGUUACCAGACGGGUGGGGCGUUCCCUUAACCUCUUACCAGACGGGUGCAGCGUUGCCUUAACCUGUUAAUAGACGGGAGCAGUCCUGUUGAAUCGCUAUGUCCUGAGAUUUGAUAGUGAUUUGCCAUUCCAUGCCUUAUUUAAUUUGUUUAUUUUAUUUUACUUUAUUUAUUCAUUCAUUAAAUUUUGAUCAGCACCUUCAGUUGAUUAUAGUGGUUUCCUAAUAUGGGUGGAUUCAUUUGAAUGUAAAGUCUAUGAAUCUAUAUGUUUAUCUGUGACUAAAGCACAUGCACAUUGGAAGCUCACUUGUGAACGGACUACUUGCGGAAUGAUAUGAAAUGUGUCUCACCGAAAGAAGAAAAAAAAUGACCACUUUUUCAAAAGAGUUACAAAAUAGGCUUUUCUUUACUUGGACUGAAAACAGAUCGUGACAAAAACAAUAUGUACAAUACUGUCAUUUUAGUUGCAGCCUCCUUAAAACCCCACAGUCUUGGCAUUCCACCUUUCAUCGAAAAACAAACCAAACAUAAAGUCCAGGGCUUCUGCUCCUGCCCAAACUUAAAUCAUUUCUCAUGAUAAGCAAAAAAAAAAACUAUACUAUCCAAAACUUGCAAGCAAUGGGGUUCUUCUUAAGCAAUCUGAAACCAAAGAAAGGAUGUGGGCCAGGAGGUGUGUAGGUGUGUGUGUGUGUGUGUAGGUGUGUGUGUGUGUGUGUGUGUAGGUGUAGGUGUGUGUGUGUGUGUAGGUGUGUGUGUGUGUGUGUGUAGGUGUGUGUGUGUGUGUAGGUGUAGGUGUGUGUGUGUGUGUGUGUGUGUGUGUGUAGGUGUGUGUCUGUGUGUGUGUAGGUGUGUGUGUGUGUGUGUGUGUGUGUGUGUGUGUAUUACUGCAGAGAUAAACAGAAAGGCAGGGGAGGGGCCAGGAGGUGUGUGUGUGUGUGUGUGUGUGUGUGUGUGUGUGUGUGUGUGUGUGUGUGUGUGUGUGUAUUACUGCAGAGAUAAACAGAAAGGCAGGGGGGGGCAGGGGGGAAGCUUGUUGCUUGGCUUGCAGUGGCGGUUACGUGCAGCACUCCACGACUUUAACGCCAAACAGGCCUGACCUGCUUGCUGAAGAUGCCUCUUAUC
ensembl:lncRNA